GACGAACGCUGGCGGCGUGCUUAACACAUGCAAGUCGAGCGGUAAGGCCCUUUUGGGGGGUACACGAGCGGCGAACGGGUGAGUAACACGUGGGUGACCUGCCCUCAGCUCUGGGAUAAGCCUGGGAAACUGGGUCUAAUACUGGAUAUGACCUUUCCUCGCAUGGGGUUGGGUGGAAAGUUUUUCGGCUGGGGAUGGGCCCGCGGCCUAUCAGCUUGUUGGUGGGGUGAUGGCCUACCAAGGCGACGACGGGUAGCCGGCCUGAGAGGGCGACCGGCCACACUGGGACUGAGACACGGCCCAGACUCCUACGGGAGGCAGCAGUGGGGAAUAUUGCGCAAUGGGCGGAAGCCUGACGCAGCGACGCCGCGUGGGGAUG
rnacentral:rRNA from 1 species